rnacentral:rRNA from 1 species
CUACGGGAGGCUGCAGUGGGGAAUAUUGCACAAUGGACGAAAGUCUGAUGCAGCAACGCCGCGUGGAGGAUGACACUUUUCGGAGCGUAAACUCCUUUUAUAUCCCAAGAUAAUGACGGUAGGAUAUGAAUAAGCACCGGCUAACUCCGUGCCAGCAGCCGCGGUAAUACGGGGGGUGCAAGCGUUACUCGGAAUCACUGGGCGUAAAGAGCGUGUAGGCGGGUUUGUAAGUUGGAAGUGAAAUCCUGUGGCUCAACCAUAGAACUGCUUCCAAAACUGCUUACCUAGAAUAUGGGAGAGGUAGAUGGAAUUUCUGGUGUAGGGGUAAAAUCCGUAGAGAUCAGAAGGAAUACCGAUUGCGAAGGCGAUCUACUGGAACAUUAUUGACGCUGAGACGCGAAAGCGUGGGGAGCAAACAGGAUUAGAUACCCGGGUAGUC